rnacentral:lncRNA from 1 species
CAAAGUCAAUUAAAUUUUAUUACAACCAAGAAUAUAAAAUAAAUGCAAUGUAAUUCAUUUCUAACAGUCAUUUCAAGAAGGAUGUCAGGAAAACUCAAAAGCGAGAAACACUUGGCUCCAAAGCUGCAAGCUUGUCCUGCACCCGGGGAGCAGGCCCCGCUGGGGGCAGCCGGCUUUCAAUGCACACCUCACAGGGCGUGGCAAAGCAUACACAGUCAUGUCUAAAGUCGUACAAACAGGGAUGCGUGCAGAAAAAUGGCUGAAAAGAGACAAGAACAGGUACACUUCACAUAGAGGAAUUAUGGGAAAUACAAACUAGGCAGUUUAGAAAGGAUAUACUACAUAACAUAUAUAAAAAGUACUUUAAAUUGUUGUUAAAAAGGACAUCUUCAGUCCAGAUUUUGUGUAAUACUUUUAGUGUCUACACAGAC